CCUACGGGUGGCAGCAGGGAGGAAUAUUGGUCAAUGGACGAGAGUCUGAACCAGCCAAGUAGCGUGAAGGAUGACUGCCCUAUGGGUUGUAAACUUCUUUUAUAAAGGAAUAAAACGAGGCACGUGUGCCUUUUUGCAUGUACUUUAUGAAUAAGGAUCGGCUAACUCCGUGCCAGCAGCCGCGGUAAUACGGAGGAUCCGAGCGUUAUCCGGAUGUAUUGGGUUUAAAGGGAGCGUAGAUGGGUUGUUCAGUCAGUUGUGAAAGUUUGCGGCUCAACCGUAAAAUUGCAAUUGAUACUGGCAGUCUUGAGUACAGUUGAGGUAGGCGGAAUUCGUGGUGUAGCGGUUAAAUGCUUAGAUAUCACGAAGAACCCCGAUUGCGAAGGCAGCUUACUAAACUGUGACUGACAUUGAUGCUCGAAAGUGUGGGUAUCAAACAGGAUUAGAUACCCUUGUAGUC
rnacentral:rRNA from 1 species